rnacentral:lncRNA from 9 species
UUUUAAGUGUUUUCUCAAUUUUUACAGCAUUUCUUGUGUGAAUACAAAUUUUUAUAUGAGAUAUUCACACACUCCAUUUCUUUUAUUUACUUAUUUGAUUAUUUAUUUCCCUGCUCCGACUAUAAUAAUGAAGUGAAAAUUCAUGAAAGAACACAAGAAAUAAACAAGAUCUUUGUAUAUCCCUGACUUCUACCUACAGGAUCCCUACAGAGAGACUGACUUAGAUUUUUUUUUGCUGGACCUCAGAGUUUCUGACACAUGUUAUUUAUCAUCCAUGAUUCAAACCACCAGUAAUCAUCAUUGGUCCAGGACUGGCCCAAUUUCUCUUUGUUCAUUUCUAAAUUGUUCCUUAAUUUAUCAAUUUAUGCUAAUCAUAUAGUAAAUACUCUUAAGCAAACCACCCAACCCAACGCAAGACCUUCGACUGUUACUCACCCAGGUCUCCCGCUUAUGCUGUGUAGAUGCCGCCAAAGAGCUUGUCAUCAUGGAAGGCGCUAAACCCCUUCAGGCAGGUCCACUCUGAGGAAGACACAGCACAAUGGUUGAUACGGAGAAAUUAGGACUGUAUCUACCCUGACCCUUCCUUUCCAUCUUUCACUUACUCCAUUUUUUAGAUAGGUAUUAAUUUUUCAUAAUUUGCUAUGAACACAAAGAACCGCCUCAACCCUGAAACUUAUCCAGACCGUAAAACUGUCCAUACCUACAUGAUCCUUUAGCAAAGGAGGAGUCUCCUAGAUCCACUUAUUUUUUAAUGAAGGUCGGUGUCUUCACUCUUUAUUAAUAACUUAUCUUGUAUCAUCACAUGUUGGUGACUGAAUGAUGCUUCAUUUUCUGCUUUAUCUUUUUAAUGGUUCUACCUAUACUUCAUUAAUAAUGACAAAUCAAAACCUAUACAUCCCGAAUAAAAACAUGAACUUGGUAUAUUUCUGACAUUUGUCUAUAUUAUCAUUUCCAAACGAGGGACUGAACUAAUUGCGUUGUGUGUUGGAUCUUAGCAUUUCAGACACUGCGAGUUGUCAUCAUUGGUCCAUGUUCGCAGUGCGUGUUCUUCGUUCGUGUCUAUGUUUGAUUGAUUCAAUUGCUCUUCUUUGAUAAUAAGAAGUACAUGAGGAGUUCCUGUCAUGGCGCAGUGGUUAACGAAUCCGACUAGGAACCAUGAGGUUGCAGGUUCGGUCCCUGCCCUUGCUCAGUGGGUUAACAAUCCGGCGUUGCCUGAGCUGCAAUGGAACUCCAACUUUGAUUCAUUUAAUACAAUUUAAUAAUACAGACACACCCUUAAAGGAAGACCCAAAGCGAGAUGAGAUCUCUGACCAUUCAUUACUCACCUAUAAAUGAACUUAUUUGCCAAAGAGAAACAGACUCGCAGACUUUGAAAAACUGAUGGUUACCAAAGGGGAUAGGUGUGUGGGUCAGGGUGGAGGGAUGGACUGGAGGUUUGGGAUUGGCAUGUGCCCAUGUGCCCGCUGAGCUACAUGAAACGACUGGCCAACAGGGGCCUACUGUAGGGCACAGGGAACUCUAGCCAGCACUCUGUGAUUAUCUGAUGAUCUUUCUGAUUCUUUUUCAGAAAAGAAUCUGCAAGAGAAUGGGUGUGUGCAUAUGUAUAACUGAUUCACUUGUACUGCAGAAGUUAUCACAAUAUUGUAAAUGCACGAUACUUCAAUAAAACUUUAAAAAAUGGAAAAAAAAGAGUACCAAAGCAGAGACAGCCUCAUCAUUAAUCUAUACUACUAUUCAUAUACAUAGUAAUUUAGUUAUUAAUUCAUAGUAACAUUCAUAUAUUUUUCUCUUCAUAAGUCAAACGUCAAACGUACUCUACUAUUGAUUCUUUUAUAACAGCAUUUUAAAAAUUUAUGGCCACAAGUCCAAGAAGAAGAUCACUGUAUAUUCCUAGACAAAAGUCCUUAGGAAAAUUUCAAACAGGUGAAUGGGCUGGAUUCUCCCCCACUUGGACCUCUGAGUUCCAACCCUACUAGUGAGUCCCAGUCAUCUGCACCGGUCCAGGUCUGGCCCUCUUAUUCUUCAAUUCAAUCAUUCACAAGUAAAAACAAAAUUAACACGUAUAAAUCACAAAACCUAAGCAGUUUCUUGCAAACCCCUAUGAUCUCGCUGUAGAAGGAUUUUCACAGGGACGGCAGCUCGUCCUCUGUGUGGCCUCCACGUUUAAUAGCAAUCAGUGGUAACGGAUCAGUUAAUCAACGUCAUGCCUCACAUCAAGACCAGCUUCACUCGUAGACUAGGGUUGGCCUUCCGUCUUUUGUUUCCUAGAUCUUUAAGCAGGGAAUACCCUUAGCUGCCUUGACAUGAAAUGUAUCUACUACUCACACUGGUCCCCACACACAGACGUAACCAUAAAACUUUUGAGUACAGGGAUGAUGGCAAAACCCUAAACAGCUUUGCGCACCCACUCUGCCGAGCAUAGAGGAAAGCAGAUGUUAAACAGAUUGAGACGUUAUUUCUACGGAUCACUGCUGUCCGCUUUUCAUUUCCUUAGUCAUUUAAAGGGAUUUAAAUGAUGCUAAAGGAUAACGUCACUAACUGAUGUUAAUAAUUUGUCUCAUCUCUUAAAAAAAGAACAACGCCGAACUCACCACUGAUUCAGAGCAGUAACACUGACAAUUUACUAUCUCUCUCUGUGCGCUGGUUCACCAAAGAGGCAGCACCCUUGAUCCAAUUAUUCCUUAAUGGGCACUCAUAUUUCCAAAUUAAAUUAAUGCUAGGUUUUGUCUUAUCUCACAUAAGUGGACGAUGCUUCACCUUCUUUAUCUUUAUUUUCUUACAUAACUCUGUAGAGUUCUGUUGACUUUUUGUAACAAUAAUAAUAACCAUCAAAAUUCAUGAAUCAGGAGUUCCCGUCAUGGCGCAGUGGUUAACGAAUCCGACUAGGAACCAUGAGGUUGCGGGUUCGAUCCCUGGCCUUGCUCAGUGGGUUAACGAUCCGGU